GCAAUGGUAGUUCAGUGGUAGAAUUUUCACCUUCCAUGUGGGAGACUCAGGUUCGCUUUCCGGCCAAUGCA
rnacentral:tRNA from 1 species